AUUGAACGCUGGCGGCAGGCCUAACACAUGCAAGUCGAGCGGAUGAAGGGAGCUUGCUCCUGGAUUCAGCGGCGGACGGGUGAGUAAUGCCUAGGAAUCUGCCUGGUAGUGGGGGAUAACGUCCGGAAACGGGCGCUAAUACCGCCUACGACCUGAGGGAGAAAGUGGGGGAUCUUCGGACCUCACGCUAUCAGAUGAGCCUAGGUCGGAUUAGCUAGUUGGUGGGGUAAAGGCCUACCAAGGCGACGAUCCGUAACUGGUCUGAGAGGAUGAUCAGUCACACGGGAACUGAGACACGGUCCAGACUCCUACGGGAGGCAGCAGUGGGGAAUAUUGGACAAUGGGCGAAAGCCUGAUCCAGCCAUGCCGCGUGUGUGAAGAAGGUCUUCGGAUUGUAAAGCACUUUAAGUUGGGAGGAAGGGCAGUAAGUUAAUACCUUGCUGUUUUGACGUUACCAACAGAAUAAGCACCGGCUAACUUCGUG
rnacentral:rRNA from 1 species